GACGUAGGGCGCAAGCGUUGUCCGGAUUUAUUGGGCGUAAAGAGCUCGUAGGCGGCUUGUUGCGUCGUCCGUGAAAACCUGUGGCUCAACUACAGGCUUGCGGUCGAUACGGGCGGGCUGGAGUUCGGUAGGGGAGACUGGAAUUCCUGGUGUAGCGGUGAAAUGCGCAGAUAUCAGGAAGAACACCCGUGGCGAAAGCGGCUCUCUGGAACGGUACUGACGCUGAGACGCGAAAGCGUGGGGAGCGAACAGG
rnacentral:rRNA from 1 species